AUUGAACGCUGGCGGCAUGCCUUACACAUGCAAGUCGAACGGCAGCACGGGUGCUUGCACCUGGUGGCGAGUGGCGAACGGGUGAGUAAUACAUCGGAACGUACCUUAUCGUGGGGGAUAACGCAGCGAAAGCUGUGCUAAUACCGCAUAAGCCCUGAGGGGGAAAGCGGGGGAUCGAAAGACCUCGCGCGAUUAGAGCGGCCGAUGCCUGUUUAGCUUGUUGGUGGGGUAAAAGCCCACCAAGGCGACGAUCAGUCGCUGGUCUGGGAGGACGAUCAGCCACACGGGGACGGAGACACGGCCCAGACUCCUACGGGAGGCAGCAGUGGGGAAUUUUGGACAAUGGGGGCAACCCUGAUCCAGCAAUGCCGCGUGAGUGAAGAAGGCCUUCGGGUUGUAAAGCUCUUUUGUCAGGGAAGAAACACCGGCUCUAACACAGUCCGGGAAUGACGGUACCUGAAGAAUAAGCACCGGCUAACUACGUGCCAGCCGCCGCGGUAA
rnacentral:rRNA from 1 species